GCGCCGAUAGCUCAGCAGGAUAGAGCAACUGCCUUCUAAGCAGUAGGUCAGGGGUUCGAAUCCCUUUCGGCGUGCCA
rnacentral:tRNA from 1 species